GCGCGCGUUCGCAGGCUCCCCGGCCGAUGGCAAACGGUAAUUGUUACGUAAGGGGGAACUCGCGAGCUGAAAACCGUGGCCAUGUGCUUCGCUCUCUCGCAUACGAGGGUCAGGACCCGAACGAACGAACGAACGAACGAACCAGAGUACACGAGGGGGGAAAACGCCGAGCGGUGCGCCCGUUCGAACGUCUAACUAGGCCGUUGAAGACGGCUAUAGUACCAUCUCAGUUAACCAUCCAACCUAUUCGCGUUCGAGUAGCAUAAGCCAGUCAGUCGCGCGUCCGUUGGUUAACUACAGCUCUACGAUCUGCAGGCUGUUCGAAAGAAGCAAGCUUCGCUGGCAAACUUCACAGGGGCGGGCGCGUGGUGCUCGUCAGAAAGCAACGGGAUGUAUGUAUCUCGCAACAACUGUGUCACACGGUUGUCAUCCAACAUCAUCUACAGUAGCGAAAAUUAAACACUGUUUCUACAGUUUUCUGCAUCGAAGGGAACACGUAGAUACCUGGAGUU